rnacentral:lncRNA from 1 species
AAACAAUGUAAAUAAAAGGUAGCACUUGCUCUACUUUGCUUUUAAAAAACUAUUUAAACAAAUACAUGAAAGAGCUACAUUCAAAUCAAUAAGUUGCUACCUUAUUCCCUAACUCGGAAGAAACCAUACACACACACACACAGCUUGCUAAAUCUUUGUGCAAACCACUCAUCAUUCUAAUAUGAUUGAGCUCUAUUUUUGAUCUAACAACCUUAGAAGCUGUUUCUUGACUUCUGUCUAGUCAUCCAUCCCUUCUUAAAUUAUAAUACUAUUCUAAUUUUCUCUAUGGAUCUAUGCAAUCACAAACGAUAGACCUGAGUCUUUAUUCCUUGUCUCAUUAAUCUGAGAGAGAAUGUUUUGACACCAUUUUUAUAAAAGGUAGGAAUUCAUUUCCACCAUUCUUUCCUUCUUUUGCUAUUCAGUCUCUAUCCACUAUUCUUUCAUAUUUACAUGGUCAAAGUUAGAAAUGUUUUGUAUUUUUAAUUGUAAGUUUCCUUAUAGUGUCAAUAGCUUCACUUUAAAAUGGAUGUUGGUAUAAUGAGGAUACAUUGUAUAGAUGAUCAAGCAUUUAUCCACUGUUUGCAGUAAUCUAGUGCUUUGGGGUUUUUUUGUUUUUAGGGAGGGGGUUUGUUCCCCCUGAAGUUUUUCCACUAUGGUAAGGAGAAGAAGGCAUAGUUCACUUAUAAAAGAUGCAGAAAUGACCAUUUAGAAAUUCCCAUUGAGAAAGAAAAUGAAAUGUAAAUUCCUUCUUGCUUAUUGGGAAGAGAGAAUGCGAAGUACACAGGUCUGCCCUCCCUUCACCCUGGCUGCAGGUCUAGCCCUUCGCUUCUCCCAUCGUACAAACCACCAGGAGGCCUUCUUCAUCAGAGCCUAGCAGACGCCAGUGUGAAGCCCUUCAACCUCUAGAACUGUCAGCCACAUAAACCUCUUUUAAUAAAGUACCCAACCUUGGGUAUUUCACCAUAGUAAGAGAAAAUGGACUAAAAGUGUUUGAUAAGCACUUAAGCCAUACUCUUUCUGAGGGCGAAUACUGCUUAGAGUAAUCCACUAAAGCCAUAACAGUCACUUGUUUCUCUAUCUACUUUUGGACCAAUUGAAAUGUCAAAAUCUUCAUGAGUGGAAAUAAAGCAUCUAAGUCCUGAUGUAUUUUUAUUUUUCUCCUAUUUUUACAGCCUUUGGUUUAUUACACAUUUGUACUUUGAUAAAUUAUGAAAUCGCUCCUGUCUCAUGCACCAUGUCCUUUUAAGUGGCACAAACUGUCUCGUUUGUCCACUUCUUCCCAAAUUAGACGCUGCCUGGUGUAACUUCUCCCUUUUCAGUUGAACUUAUCCGGUAAUCAUGUGUCUAUAAACACAUAUUAAUUUUUAAUGUGUUUCUUAAAUAAAACAUAGGUAUGAAUUUUGUUUUGAAAACCAGUAUCUUUUACUUUUUGG